GAGAUUCUGGGAUGGAACUUUAUCAAAGACAUGAGGACAGGUGAGUGUGUGGACAGGUGGACAGGUGAGUGUGUGGACAAGUGGACAGGUGGACAGGUGAGUGUACGUACAGGAAGAGCGGCAGACAGACGAGCUGAGGCAGAGACAGCAUCAGGUGCAGACUCGUCCAUGUGGAGCUGAACCAGGACAGAGGACAACUGAGCAUCGUCCCCACACUGAAGCAGAACGGCAG